rnacentral:rRNA from 1 species
GUGAGGAAUAUUGGUCAAUGGGCGGGAGCCUGAACCAGCCAAGUCGCGUGAAGGAAGAAGGAUCUAUGGUUCGUAAACUUCUUUUGCAGGGGAAUAAAGUGCAGGACGUGUCCUGUUUUGUAUGUACCCUGAGAAUAAGGAUCGGCUAACUCCGUGCCAGCAGCCGCGGUAAUACGGAGGAUCCGAGCGUUAUCCGGAUUUAUUGGGUUUAAAGGGUGCGUAGGUGGUUUGAUAAGUCAGCGGUGAAAGUUUGCAGCUUAACUGUAAAAAUGCCAUUGAAACUGUCGGACUUGAGUGUAAAUGAGGUAGGCGGAAUGCGUGGUGUAGCGGUGAAAUGCAUAGAUAUCACGCAGAACUCCGAUUGCGAAGGCAGCUUACUAAGCUACAACUGACACUGAAGCACGAAAGCGUGGGGAUCAAACAGGAUUAGAAACCCUUGUAGUCC